AUACAACGAAAUGUUUUCAAUGUUUGGGUUAUUUAUAUUUGUGAUUCUUACGAUACCUUAUCUAAGUUGUUAAUUGAUAACAGUAUCGAGAGCUCGACAGGUAAAUACCUAAAAAUAACUCACUUCAGUCAAAAUAUACUUCGGUAAGUUACCUAAAGGACAAAGUUCAACGACCAAGUUCUCGAGACGCAAAACUCUUUAUUAAUUAAAUAUCAAUAAUUAUUUACCUUUUCGAAGGCAAUAAUUAAAAUUAUUUAUAUGCCUCAAUAUUGAAGAGGAAAAUUAUCGAUUCUUUGUUAUCGAUAGGAUACGAUAAAACAUAAACAUACGAGAUAACACCUAGGAGGUACUUAGUGAGAGUACCUAUAUGUUAGAGUACUAAUUGUAUUAUUUUAGUUCAGAAGCAGACACUGUAACGAACAGUUGACUUUAUUGUAUAAGUUGAAUUUCUUCUAAAAUAUGCCACCGCCCCACGGCCCUCCACACCACGGACCCCCACAUCAUGGGCCUCCACAUCACGGACCGCCCCAUCAUGGACCACCCCACCACGGACCACCCCACCACGGUCCUCCCCAUCACGGACCACCCCACUUCGGUCCACCCCACCACGGACCACCCCACCAUGGUCCACCCCACCACGGUCCGCCUUAUCACGGACCACCCCAUUGGAGGUGAAGAGGGCAAAACAAUCACAAUUGAGAAUCAUACUCUAAUUAAAUAAAACUUAGAUACCUAUCAUGAAAAUUUUCUUUUUAAUUACAAAAGUUAAUCGCUGACUUCACGGUAAAUUAAGAUCCCAGGAAUAAGGAUAAAAAUGUUAAUGUUGUUUUUAAAUUAAACUUGGAACAGUUAAUGUAGUUAAUUAAAUUAAAUACCUAUAAAAAUUCAACUGGCUAUUAAUUAUUAAGACAUAUCGAAUAAAAUAUUAUAUUGCUUAAA
rnacentral:misc_RNA from 1 species